UUUUUUCAAACCUCCUUGAUCCCCAUCGAGCCAAAAUUCAAGCCCUGAGGCUCCCAAAAAAUUAAGAAGACAAGACAAUUUAAUGUUUUACCUUGAAGCAACAAGAAGACGAAGCAAGCAAUGAAAGACGAUUCUUUGCACGGGGAAGAUGUAGAAGAUUGCUAAAGGAGGGGGAGCAAAUAUCUUCUAAGCUUUCUCUCUCUUGUACGGUAGAAUAAAUCACUCUCCGAAGUUGAUUUAAUAAUACACUUGAGAUGGAUUUAAAUAGGAUUUGAGAGAAAUUUAUUUCCCUUUCCUAGAAGGAUCUAAUUUCCUAUUAAAGAGGGAAUCUACAUCAAACUAGGAAACAAACCUAUGUUUCCCAAAGUAAGAAGAUCUCUACACUCACUGCCCUUUCCUGCGAGCAGCCCAACAGGUCUGGGGGCAUUUGUGGAGCAAAAAAUAAUUAAGAAAAAUAUGGAGGCGACAUAUGGAUAUUUGGGUGAAAAAUAUAAGUUACCCUCGAGACACACCGGGAUUUCUGCGUGCAAGCAGUGGACAAUCAUCCCUCAAUCAAGUCAAAAGUGCCCAAAAUAGGUAUUUAUUCAAAACCUAUUUCAUCCAUCCUCAUCAAAUCUUCUUCACAAGAUAACCCCCAAAUCAUUCAUUUCUAAUUAUAUUACUUAGCUAAUUAAUUGAUUUAUUACUCAAUUAAUUAGCUAACAAAUUAUGAAUCUCACCCAAAAAACCAUCCAAGUAGCCGGUCCCCAUCCUCCCAAAGGGGCCGACCACACCCUUAUAUAUAAACACCCUCAUUUUCUCCAAAACCUAAGUUCUACACUCUUGCUAAAUUCUCUAAAUUCUCUAAACACUUUUCCCUCAAAAUUCUAACUUUGGCAUCAUAGUUUCUUCGACCAAAGCUCCCCCCCCCCAUUUCAUCGUAGGCGCAUGUGGCUCUUGGCCUUGACCUAAGGUGUUGUUGGUUUUGUAGGUGCAAUUUUGUCCAAGAACAAGGAGGAAGAAAUUUGCAUCCACAAUCACAUCCUCUAUGAUUUGAGGAUGGUAGAUCUUCAAUUAAAUUUUUAAUACCAUACAAACUGUCAUGAAUAGUAUUUUUAAGGGAGCUCAAAAUAAAUAAAACUCAUAUAAAAAUGUACAAGCCCGAAAAAUGUUAAAGCAUAUAUGCACGCUCGUGAUUGCAUCAUCUAUACUUACACGAUGGUUAGAUGGUCGUUUAGAUUUUUAAAAUCCUUCAAAUCUCAUGAUAUUAUUUUUUAUUUGAGUGUAAAAUUAAAGUAUCAAGCUAAAGUUCCAAUACCAUUUUUCGUGGUGAUUGAUGAAAAUUGAAGGGUUCUAUUGUCAAAAACGUGCAAGGUUCCUCAACCUUGAAACACAACUCCUUCAUUUUGAAUAUUCUUGAACAUUUGUAUAUAGUAGUAAUGUACUAAUGUUUUUUCAUUAGCCUCUUAUUUAGGAUAUGUAAUACUUAAAAGACAAAUGUUAUUUUUAUGUUUUGAAGUAAUAUUUAUGUGACAAUGUGGUAUGCAUAUACUAAUUUAGUAUUAUGUUUUCAAUUUUUUUGGGUCAAAUUAUGUUUUUCAUUUUCAUUAUUUAUUAAUUCAAAAUAUAUUUGUUUGAAUUAAUGGGGGCAUGCAUUGUUUUUUUCCUCUUAAAACUCAAACAUUUUUUAGUUGAAAUAUAUCAUUCGGAAACAGAGGAAAUAUCAAACAAUUAUUGUAACAUUCUGAAAAACAAAACCUGAUUUUAAAUUUUUUCUCAACUAGUUAUAAGGCAAUAAGUGUUCCAUACAAUAGAAACAGAGACAAUACUAUUUCAUAAUAAGGAUCACGCGUACAACAAUAACAAACAACAUUACAUUCAAUACAACCCUUGAUAUUGAUAUUUUGGAUUUAACUAGUUACAGUUAACCACGAUAGCUAUGGUGGCAACAGAUCCAAUAACCACAACUGGGGCCGAAAAUGGGAGUGUAGCUACAACGACCGUUAUCAGCUUCGGCAGCAACCACAUCACAGCUGACACUACAGCUACCUUGAACAUCUGAGAUAAAGACAUUUUUGCUUGAAAUGGUUACUUAUAUGGAGAUCGAGUCUAAACAGAAAAGUACCCUGCCUCUUAUUUAUAUAAUACUAUUGGGAAGGGCCUGCAUCUGAUUAAGUAAUUAACUAUCUUAUUUAUAUAGUACUAUUGGGAAGGGCAUGCAUCUUAUUAAGUAAUUAACUAUCUAACUCUUCGGUUAUUGUAACUCAAUUGAAUUAGAUGCACGCGUGCAUCAAUUUUCAACGUGCAUUGGAAACUAAACAAUUUCUGCUAAUUAAGAUAGUCGCUAAUGCACGGUUGAAAAGCUUGUCAGAAAUAAUUCUCGCCCUCUCUUAUAAAACUUUUUUACAGGUAAAUUUGGUAAUGAUGUAUCUGAUGAUAUGUAUCCCCGUUCCCUUCCAUUGAGUGAUUCCUCAAAUAAGCCUAUUAUUUCAGGGAUCUUAUGUUGGGCCCAAUUCACAUCAUAUUUUGACGAAAAAAAACGCAGUUCCAUUUUUGAGCCAUGAUAUAUAAUGCUUGUUCAACUUCAAUAUAGUAAUCAUUUCUUUUUAGCAAAACUUAUGAACAAUUUCUGUGCUUAUGAUAUUAUUAUCUCAAUGUUAAAUUAUUAUUUUUGUAACUCCAUAGCUCUCAUUUGAUUCAAAUUUUCAUUCCUAUACAAAAGUUAACCAUCAAAUCUUCUCUCAUUGAUUGUAUUAAAAUUUGAAAGUACGUGUGUGUGAACACGGAAAAUUCCUGAAACGAAAGAGACAAGAACAACGUGCACAAACAAAUAUUUGUAUUUGAUGAUGAUUUUGGGUUACAAUCUCUCUCUAAUUUGAUCCUCUGAUUCGAUCUCCGUAAGGUGUGUAUUUGUGGAUGUGUGAUUGAUCCAAAGGGCCGUUGGGCUUGAUCUAAGGAUGAACGUUCUUCAAGGGCCGUGGACUUGAUCUUGAAUGUGGAUUUGAGCGGAUCUUUGAAUGGGCUUUUGGGCUUGAUCUUUGAAGAACAGUGAUGAACGGAUCUCCAAGGGCUUUUGGGCUUGGUGAUCUUGAAGAACAGUGAUGAACGGAUCUUCAAGGGCUUUUGGGCUUGAUCUUGAAGAACGGUUGGAUGUGUGGAUUUGUCGACGUUGUUGAUCCAAGGGCCGUUGGGGCUUAAUCUUGGAUGAACGGAUGAUGAACGAUGGUGCUUUCUUCAAGGACCGUCGGGGCUUGAUCUUGGAAGAACGAUGAACGAAGAACACUUUCUUCAAGGGCCGUCAGGGCUUGAUCUUGAAUUGGUGGAUGAUUGUUGAUCCAAGGGCCGUUGGGGCUUGAUCUUGGAAGAACGAUGAACGAAGAACGAAUAAGGCUUUCUUGAUUCUUCGGGAACUUGGAUGCUUGAGAGCUUCGGAGUUUCAGAGCUUCAGAGCUUCAAGGUGUAAUAUGAAUUGGUUCCCUUCAAUGAAUGAAAUGGGCUUGUAUUUAUAGAAUUUUCCAAUGCCUAAUUUUGAAUAUAAUAUCCCAGAUGAAAUAAGUCGUUUCUGCCAGGUGUUAACACGUGUCCUAUUUGAUGACUUUUCCAACUCAUUUCAAUUUUCGUUGAGUCACACGCUACGUGUAAAAUUUAU
rnacentral:lncRNA from 1 species